AUGAUCAUCUACAGGGACCUGAUGAGCUGUUCUCUGACGUCUACAAGAUCCCGGAGAUCGCAGACGGGCUGUGCCUGGAGGUGGAGGACAAGAUGGUCAGUAGGACAGAGGGUACCAUUGAUGACUCGCUCAUUGGUGGAAAUGCCUCCGCUGAAGGCCCCGAGGGCGAAGGUACCAAACGCACAGUAGUCACUGGUGUGGACAUCAUCAUGAACCAUCACUUGCAGGAGACCAGUUUCACAAAGGAAGCCUACAAAAAGUAUAUCAACGAUUAUACGAAAUCACUUCAGGCGAUCUUGAAGAACAGAAACCUGAAAGAGUAAAGCCUUUUAUGACAAGAGCUGCAGAGCAAAUCAAGCACAUCCUUGCUAAUUUCAGUAACUACCAGUUUUUUAUUGGUGAAAACAUGAAUCCAGAUGACAUAGUUGCUCUUCUGGACUACUGUGAGGAUAGUGUGACCCCCAUUUCUGAUUUUCUUUGAGGAUGGUUUAGAAAUGGAAAAAUGUUAACAAAUU